AUGCCCAAGCGCCUCUUCCUUGUAGAUUCUACCUCACCGGCUAUCUCCCCAAUUCCUCCUACCUACAAGACUGCUCUCAAGGAUCCUCAUUGGCAACAAGCUAUGGUAGAUGAAUUUAACGCUUUAAUGAACAACUCUACUUGGUCUUUGGUGCCUAAGCCUGCAGGUGUCAAUGUGGUCACGGGGAAAUGGAUCUUUCGCCACAAGUUCAACAUGGACGGUUCUUUGGCACGCUAUAAAGCACGUUGGGUGGUGCGUGGCUUCUCCCAACGUGAGGGUGUGGACUAUGAUGAAACCUUCAGCCCGGUGGUCAAACCCGCUACUAUCCGUGUUGUGCUCAGUAUUGCCACCUCGCAAGCAUGGCCCAUCCAUCAACUUGAUGUCAAGAAUGCCUUCUUGCAUGGUGAUCUCCAUGAAACGGUGUAUUGCUCUCAACCGACGGGCUUUGUCGACAAAUCCUUUCCGGACCAUGUGUGUCUUCUUCGGAAGUCCCUCUAUGGUCUCAAACAAGCACCACGUACAUGGUUUCUUCGCUUUCGGUCCUUUUUGCUCUCUCUUGGUUUUUGUGCUUCCAAAAGUGACACCUCACUUUUUAUUCUCCACCGUGGUUCCACCAUUGCAUACUUGUUGGUUUAUGUCGACGAUAUUAUUCUCACUGCCAACUCCACCACCACCCUAGAGCUCCUCAUUCGGUCUCUCAAAUCCGAAUUCUCUAUGUCUGAUUUAGGUGCUCUACACCACUUUCUUGGCAUCAAUGUGACCCCCAAUGCUUCUGGUCUUUUCCUUUGCCAACAACAAUAUGCCUUGGAGAUUCUAGAGAGAGCAAAGAUGUUAAAUUGCAGACCGGUGUCCACCCCCAUUGAUACUAGCUCCAAAGUAUCUUCCACCGCCGGCUCUGUUCUUUCCAACCCUACUCACUAUCGCAGUCUUGCCGGCGCGCUUAAAUAUCUUACCCUCACACGUCCGGACAUUGCUUAUGCUGUCCAACAGGUGUGUUUGUUCAUGCAUGAGCCGCAGGACACCCACAUGCAGCUCAUCAAGAGGAUACUACGAUACUUGCAAGGCACCUCCCACUAUGGCCUUCAGUUCUAUCGCUCCUCUUCGCAUGAUCUUGUUUUCUACACUGACGCCGACUGGGCCGGGUGCCCGGACACGCGCCGCUCGACCUCAGGGUUUUGUGUUUUUCUUGGGUCCAACCUCAUUUCGUGGUCCUCCAAGAGACAGCCCACUGUUUCUCGCUCCAGCGCCGAAGCCGAGUACCGUGGCGUGGCUAAUUGUGUGGCCGAGGCUUGUUGGCUCCGUCAACUUCUUCAUGAGCUCAAACAUCCUCCUCGGCGUGCCACAGUGGUUUAUUGUGAUAACAUCAGUGCCUCUUACCUUGCAUGUAAUCCCGUUCAGCAUCAACGCACUAAACAUGUUGAGAUAGACCUACACUUCGUCCGAGAUCGCGUGGCACUUGGCGAAGUCCGGGUCCUCCAUGCUUCUUGA
rnacentral:rRNA from 1 species